ACGGGUGCGUAACACGUGAGCAAUCUGCCUUAAAGUGGGGGAUAGCUCGCCGAAAGGCGAAUUAAUACCGCAUGUGGUUGUAAAACCAAAGCCGGGGCAACCUGGCGCUUUUAGAGGAGCUCGCGGCCUAUCAGCUUGUUGGUGAGGUAACGGCUCACCAAGGCUUCGACGGGUAGCUGGUCUGAGAGGACGACCAGCCACACUGGAACUGAGACACGGUCCAGACACCUACGGGUGGCAGCAGUCGAGAAUUUUUCUCAAUGGGGGAAACCCUGAAGGAGCGACGCCGCGUGGAGGAUGAAGGCUUUCGGGUUGUAAACUCCUGUCAUUUGGGAACAAAGCCUUACGUUAACUGCGUGGAGGUUUGAUAGUACCAGAAGAGGAAGAGACGGCUAACUCUGUGCCAGCAGCCGCGGUAAUACAGAGGUCUCAAGCGUUGUUCGGAUUCAUUGGGCGUAAAGGGCGCGUAGGCGGCGAGGUAAGUCGGGUGUGAAAUCUCAGAGCUCAACUCUGAAACUGCACUCGAUACUGCUUUGCUAGAGGACUGGAGAGGAGAUUGGAAUUCACGGUGUAGCAGUG
rnacentral:rRNA from 1 species